rnacentral:rRNA from 1 species
AUUGAACGCUGGCGGCAGGCCUAACACAUGCAAGUCGAGCGCGAAAGUCUUCGGAUGAGUAAAGCGGCGGACGGGUGAGUAAUGCACGGGAAUCUGCCUGGUAGUGGGGGACAACGUCUCGAAAAAGACGCUAAUACCGCAUACGCCCUACGGGGGAAAGGGGGGGAUCUUCGGACCUCUCGCUAUCAGAGGAUCCCAUGUCAGAUAAGCUAGUUGGUAGGGUAAAGGCCUACCAAGGCGACGAUCUGUAACUGGUCUGAGAGGAUGAUCAGUCACACUGGAACUGAGACACGGUCCAGACUCCUACGGGAGGCAGCAGUGGGGAAUAUUGGACAAUGGGGGCAACCCUGAUCCAGCCAUGCCGCGUGUGUGAAGAAGGCCCUAGGGUUGUAAAGCACUUUCAGUGGGGAGAAAGGUAAUUUACCUAAUGCGUAAGUUAAUUGAUGCUACCCACAGAAGAAGCACCGGCUAACUCCGUGCCAGCAGCCGCAGUAA